GAGAAAUAAUAAUUGUCAUCAUAAUCUGUGAAUAAAUCAUCCUAGUUCAUGAAUUUCCUGCAGUUUGGAGCUUUACAUAAACAUGGAACUUUAAAUUCAUCUGGCUCAUCAGGAUCAAACAAGUAGUCAUACCUGCCAGGAAAGCAUGGCCGACAAGAGGUGAGCAUAGAUAGAUAACAUACGUUAGCUCGUCACCGGCAGAUACUUUAGUCUUGGCAAUGAGUGCGAUCCGGCUCUCGUCAUGACCCACAGACAUGAUUCUUGCAUAGCAAUUUGGCAUACACUGCAUUGACAUGAACCAAGAAUGGGGUAAGAGGAGAUGAUUAAUAACCAGUAAUGUUCUAAAGUGAGCAAUCUACUGUACAAUUUGAGAUAGGUUGACUUACAGAAUGGUUAAUUAACCGCGCUAUAUUUCCCUUAUCGGUUGCAUCAACUACCACUUCUUCACUUAUUUUGAAAAGCUGCCAAAAAAAAAAAAAAGAAACCAGAACAAUUUAAUUUAGUAAAAUAUUAAUUACUAAGUUGCUUAGAAAAAAUCAGCUCUGAAACCGAGGUAAAAUAGACAAGAGGGAAGUCCGGUGAACAAAAAAAAAGUCAAGGACAAGGGGAUCAGUCCAUGGGCAGGCAGGGGGAAUUAACUUACAUAGCAGUCUUUCCUUUCUAAUUUGUAGCGUGCCUCCCUCAGGUCUGCAACGCUGCGCCUUACUUGUUCGCCACGAUAUUCAAGGACCUGCAUUGAAUAAAAUCAUGCUGAUUAUUUCUACUAUAAAAGUGCAAUAGAAUAGAGCAUGUCAAAAAGAUAAUCAUAUUCUCAAAUAGCCAAAGAUAUCAUGGGUAGUUAUAAUUUUUUCAUAUUUAAUCAUUUGAGUAUAAUCUUUUCAUAUUUGAUCAUUUGAGUAUAACAAUCAUAUACCAUUUCUCCUUCUUGAAUAACUCUUCGUGCAAACAAGCCCCAUCCAUGUAUGCCUGAUCUACCGAAGCACACUCGUUCAUUUUCGGUUCUCUGGAGUCAUGCAAGUGUAUCCACGAUAUAAUCAGAAAAUCGAUAAGCAAAGCCAAUAAACCGCCACUAAAGAAAGGAUGAUUUACCUGUAGGUGAUGAAGGCGUUCCUUAAAUGAUGAAAAUGUCCGAGACUCGUCUACCACCUAUUAGAGGGAAAGAGAUGAGCGAAAGAGUGAAAAAUUAGGGGGAUGUGGAAUACACUUUAAACCUCACACUCAAGCUUAAACAAAGAAUAGGAAAAUCCAAUUUAUAUCAAAGUAAAAUAUUUACUUUGCAUGGAUUUAAUCUCUGAAUUGCAUCUAGAGGAUGACGGCAGUGACCCCUCACUUUAUGAGGAACGGCUUCAUCGGCUGCUCUCUGGCAAAUAGAAAAAAUAAAGAUGAGAAAUGUAUUGUUGUUUUACAAGAUUUGAUAAAGAUAUCAAAGGGCCUAUUAGAGGCUACAGUGACUAACAAGGCCUUAAUAGCGAGAAGAACAAAAAUAGUAUCCAAGUUACCUUUUUUGUGCGGUUUAUUCUUACAAAGAUUCGGCACCUAGCAGCAGAAAAUGGAUCAUGUUCGGUGUUAUCUGGUAGAGGAGUGUCUUCUUCCUUUAUUCGGUUCGAUGAAAUUAAUCUUGACCCGACUUUUCUCUUUUUUUGGAUAAGGAUUUUAGUUGAAAUGACCCCUUGAGGAGUGUGUAUGAUCAAAACAGUGUCUGGAUUGGGAGCCCUGCAAGAAAUAUAGAAAUCAUGAAGUUGAACGGCUAAAAUAAGAAUAAGAUGAACUCAAAUACACCCAUAACCAUACAAUUCCAAAAGCACUGAAAUUUAUAAAAAGCAAACUCCGUAGAGGAAACAAUAUAUAAAGGGAGAAAGGAGAAACAAUAUUGUCAUAAUUGAGGAUUCCAUACCUGUGAUAAGCACAAUAAGAAACCAUUCUUGUUGUCUGUUUACCAUUUUUCUCUGAACAAUGCAACUGCAUUUACAGAAUAGAUAACUCAAUAACUAUUUGAUGGAUCACAAAUUAUCCAUACGAUAAGUGAAAACUAUUUAAAGUCAGACAUGAUACAGAAAAAUAAUUAGUAUAGCUUAUUAAUUAUUAUUGCCAUCAGAUUCCAUAUUUUAAAUGGCACUCUAAAUGCUUAAAUAUUACGGAUUAUCUUAAAAUGAUGUGGUUUUUUUGUAUGGAGCAUGUCGAUUGUAUUGCAAUUGGGCCAAACAAGAUGCUAUCAGCAUAAAAUACACAAAUGGUUAUACAAGUUCUAGGCAGGGGUCUGAUGAAUAAUUGUAAUCACUAAUCAGUCAUCAAAAAGUAUUAAUUGAAGCUAUAUCAUAUUUGAACCAUGACAACAUUAAUUAAAAGUAGCAUUCAACGUGUUACAAAUUAAAUUAAAUGAAAGUACAUAUUAGAACAUAUCAGCAAAAAGUACCCAAGUCAAUUCAAGUGAAGCCUCACCUCCAUGCGAUAACCGGCCCUUGAUGCACACAUGGCAUGAAAAUAAGUGGAACACUUGCAACAUUGUGUGCACGAGCCAUGGAUUUGCUUACAAAUAACACAAAUCUGAAAUUGAAUUAAUACAAACUUUAGAUUGAAUCAGAAUGAACAAAACUAAGAGACGCCUAAAUUAUACUCAUAUGUUAAGAAAUCUGGACUGGAGCAGUGGAGCCUAAGUUGUUUCAAGUGUUCACACUCCAGCUUUAAAAUAUGGUAUGAGUGAAUGACGUAUGUAACUUAGUGUGAAAUAUGCAAAAAAAAAAACCUACGUCAAUUGGUGACUAACACUAAUUAGGCGUGGACAACGUUACUAUAACUUUUUAUAAUAAAAUACACACAUUAGUAGUGAUACCAUAAAACUAUAUUUCUUCAUCAUAAAAGAGAUAUAAAGUACAUUUUUCUGAACAGACAAAAGAGUUAGAAAUACCCUACCUUCACG